rnacentral:rRNA from 1 species
ACGGGUGCGGAACACGUACGCAACCUUCCUUCAAAUGAGGAAUAGCCUUUCGAAAGAGAGAUUAAUACCUCGUAACAUUUUCUGGUGGCAUCACUGGAUUAUUAUAGCUCCGGCGUUUGAAGAUGGGCGUGCGCCUGAUUAGGUAGUUGGCGGAGUAACAGCCCACCAAGCCUACGAUCAGUAACUGGUGUGAGAGCACGACCAGUCACACGGGCACUGAGACACGGGCCCGACUCCUACGGGAGGCAGCAGUAAGGAAUAUUGGUCAAUGGACGCAAGUCUGAACCAGCCAUGCCGCGUGGAGGAUGAAGGUCCUCUGGAUUGUAAACUUCUUUUAUCGGAGAAGAAACCCCGGAAUUCUUUCUGGGUUGACGGUACCCGAUGAAUAAGCACCGGCUAACUCCGUGCCAGCAGCCGCGGUAAUACGGAGGGUGCAAGCGUUAUCCGGAUUCACUGGGUUUAAAGGGAGCGUAGGUGGGGUGGUAAGUCAGUGGUGAAAUCUCCGGGCUUAACUCGGAAACUGCCGUUGAUACUAUCAUUCUUGAAUAUUGUGGAGGUAAGCGGAAUAUGUCAUGUAGCGGU